AGCUGCUACGUGCUCAGAGAGGUGAUUGACUUCUAUCUUAUAACAGUUCUGAACUCCGAAGAAUUGCAGACCAAGUACCCGCAGCUGGACGAGGUGAAGGAGUUUCUCACCGUCCUGAUGAAACGACACAUGUCUGAUUGCGAUACAGAGGAGAAAACGCAAGCCAACGCAAACAUUGAGCGACUGAAGCAGAAAGUGGACCAGCUGGGCGAGGCGAGUAAGGCCAAGGUUGUGGGGGAACUUUUCAUCCUCCUUCAGGAGAUAGGGAGCCGCUGCUCAACUGCUGAAAUAUAACCUGGCGACGAGGGGAAACCAGGAAUCGAUGGAUGAGGAAAGAGCUCAAGACACAAGGACACUGUAAUAGUUUCUCAAGAACACGUUUUGUUAACUUACCAAAUGAAAUAUAUUUAUUUCUGAUGUAUUUAUUGUGUAUAACGUUAUACACAUCAUUGUAAUUACUUACAGUAAGUUAUGUAGCAAUCUAUAUUGCAUUGUUAAUGGGC